rnacentral:rRNA from 1 species
GACGAACGCUGGCGGCGUGCUUAACACAUGCAAGUCGAACGGAAAGGCCCUGCUUUUGUGGGGUGCUCGAGUGGCGAACGGGUGAGUAACACGUGAGUAACCUGCCCUUGACUUUGGGAUAACUUCAGGAAACUGGGGCUAAUACCGGAUAGGAGCUCCUGCUGCAUGGUGGGGGUUGGAAAGUUUCGGCGGUUGGGGAUGGACUCGCGGCUUAUCAGCUUGUUGGUGGGGUAGUGGCUUACCAAGGCUUUGACGGGUAGGCGGCCUGAGAGGGUGACCGGCCACAUUGGGACUGAGAUACGGCCCAGACUCCUACGGGAGGCAGCAGUGGGGAAUCUUGCACAAUGGGCGGAAGCCUGAUGCAGCAACGCCGCGUGCGGGAUGACGGCCUUCGGGUUGUAAACCGCUUUCGCCUGUGACGAAGCGUGAGUGACGGUAAUGGGUAAAGAAGCACCGGCUAACUACGUG